UACAGAGGGUGCGAGCGUUAAUCGGAAUUACUGGGCGUAAAGCGUGCGUAGACGGUUAUCUAAGUCGGAUGUGAAAGCCCCGGGCUCAACCUGGGAAUUGCAUUUGAGACUGCAUAGCUAGGGUGCGGAAGAGGGAAGCGGAAUUUCCGGUGUAGCGGUGAAAUGCGUAGAUAUCGGAAGGAACACCAGUGGCGAAAGCGGCUUCCUGGUCCAGCACCGACGUUCAGGCACGAAAGCGUGGGAGCAAACAGG
rnacentral:rRNA from 1 species